rnacentral:rRNA from 1 species
CCUGGGGAGUACGGCCGCAAGGUUAAAACUCAAAUGAAUUGACGGGGGCCCGCACAAGCGGUGGAGCAUGUGGUUUAAUUCGAUGCAACGCGAAGAACCUUACCUGGUCUUGACAUCCACAGAACUUGCCAGAGAUGGCUUGGUGCCUUCGGGAACUGUGAGACAGGUGCUGCAUGGCUGUCGUCAGCUCGUGUUGUGAAAUGUUGGGUUAAGUCCCGCAACGAGCGCAACCCUUAUCCUUUGUUGCCAGCGGUUCGGCCGGGAACUCAAAGGAGACUGCCAGUGAUAAACUGGAGGAAGGUGGGGAUGACGUCAAGUCAUCAUGGCCCUUACGACCAGGGCUACACACGUGCUACAAUGGCAUAUACAAAGAGAAGCGACCUCGCGAGAGCAAGCGGACCUCAUAAAGUAUGUCGUAGUCCGGAUUGGAGUCUGCAACUCGACUCCAUGAAGUCGGAAUCGCUAGUAAUCGUAGAUCAGAAUGCUACGGUGAAUACGUUCCCGGGCCUUGUACACACCGCCCGUCACACCAUGGGAGUGGGUUGCAAAAGAAGUAGGUAGCUUAACCUUCGGGAGGGCGCUUACCACUUUGUGAUUCAUGACUGGGGUGAAGUCGUAACAAGGUAACCGUAGGGGAACCUGCGGUUGGAUCACCUCCUUA